UACGGGGGGGGCAAGCGUUGUUCGGAAUUACUGGGCGUAAAGGGCUCGUAGGCGGCCAACUAAGUCAUACGUGAAAUCCCUCGGCUUAACCGGGGAACUGCGUCUGAUACUGGACGGCUUGAGUUUGGGAGAGGGACGCGGAAUUCCAGGUGUAGCGGUGAAAUGCGUAGAUAUCUGGAGGAACACCGGUGGCGAAGGCGGCGUCCUGGACCAACACUGACACUGAGGAGCGAAAGCCAGGGGAGCAAACGGG
rnacentral:rRNA from 1 species